rnacentral:rRNA from 1 species
UACGUAGGAGGCAAGCGUUGUUCGGAAUUACUGGGCGUAAAGCGCGUGUAGGCUGCUUGGAAAGUCGGAUGUGAAAGCCCUGGGCUCAACCUAGGAAGUGCAUUCGAAACUUCCGAGCUGGAGUGCUGGAGAGGAAGGCGGAAUUCUCGGUGUAGAGGUGAAAUUCGUAGAUAUCGAGAGGAACACCGGUGGCGAAGGCGGCCUUCUGGACAGCGACUGACGCUGAGACGCGAAAGCGUGGGGAGCAAACAGG